GGCUCUGUGGCGCAAUGGAUAGCGCAUUGGACUUCUAGGAAGGGUGACGGCGGAAGUCAUUCAAAGGUUGUGGGUUCGAGUCCCACCAGAGUCG
rnacentral:tRNA from 1 species